AAACGAGCAGAGCUGCAGCUCUCCAGCUGGUUAGAUGCAAGAGGACAUAGAUAUGUUUCCAGCAUCACCAACAAUAACACUGUGCUGUGAUCCCUGCAUGUUGCAGAAGGUGGAGAAGGGGUGCUGAUGGCUGAAACGCUGUAUCUUGCACACAAGAUUUAGUUCUCACUGAUUCAAGGCCAUUGGUUUCUUCUCCAGCCCCCAAAACAGGAUUUAACCAUAAUUGGCAGAAGGAAGUGCCAAAGAUUUCAACUCUCCAUCUGUACUCCCACAUUUGAUGCUGCCGAAGCGCAAGGGCAGCUGUCCUUUGCCUCUCCAGUUCAUCUAAAAAUGCCAGAGGUGGAGGAGAUGAGUCUGGCUGUGAGUGACGAGAAGUGUCUAUGGAUCCAUAGCUUUGGCAAAGAGAAGGUAAAAACCCUGAGAUACGUUCCCUGCUUGAAUGGAAGUGCCAAUGAAACCUCCCCUGCAGAAGUAUCCAAGCAGCAGAAUGUCCCCUCUCCUCAUCCUGGAAGACCACCCAGAUGUCCUGUCCUGAUGAGGGAGCUUUUCCACAGCUUUUAAUGAGCUUUCAGUCUCUUCUCAGUUUCUGGGUCCAUCCAGUUUCUGGCAAGCUAAAUACCAGGCUCACUUAGCUGAGAGUGGGGUUUGUUUUUCCAGGAUUUGAAGUCCUCAGCUAUGUCAUAUACAGAAAUGAACAAGCCACCAAGAGGAAAUGCAACAUUUACCAACAUUAGGGAGUUUAAACCUUUACUCUAGAGAAAGACACAAACAUGACUUAUAGAUAGGGGAGAAAACACCAUGGGAAUGAACGGGUUCCAUUUCCUAUUUCCCUUGUCUCAGGAAACCCCUAUACUGACCUAGAAGCCUCUUACCCUCUACCUUAUUGGAAUAACCACCAAAACGCUGUUCCUAAAGCUCAUAUCAAAAACCUGCUCUCAUUUGCUGCCCAGAAAGAGACAGUGUUAUUGGUUUUUAAUCUUUUUUGGAAUAAUUAUUUUUUUG
rnacentral:lncRNA from 1 species